ensembl:lncRNA
GGUUUCCACCGGCCCGAAAGACUCGGGCCCCGCGGGCAGUGCCGCGGGAGGGGUCCCUGGACCGGGGCGCGCUCUUUUGUACGUUCUGGGCUCAGCCUGAGACCCGGUUCUAGCACCACGGCCCAGCCCCUGAGGUCGGAGGACUAGAACUGUGCUGGCCGCUAACGUGUCCCUCCUGGUUUCGUUCAGCGGCCGCACACGGCCCAUCCUCUCCGCGAACGCCCGCCUCCGACCCGCUUCCUGAAGUUUCUCCGCGCCGCGGCCAGGAAUCAGCAUCCUUCGCCUCUUCUCCGCAUCCCGUGCUUCCAUCGCUCCGGUUCUUCCCUUCCCCGCGAACCCCGACCCGCAGCCCCUUUGGGCGAGCCGUGCGCGCGUCCCCGGGCUCAGGUCCCGCCGGUGUCCGCGUCCCCAGCUGGGAGCGCCGAGCGGGGUGAGCGGAAGGGUGGCGGUGCGCGGGCGGCGGUGCGCGCGCCGCGGACGGGAUGAAGGAUCCCAGUGACCCGAGACCCUCUUCCGGAGCCGCCAAGACCCGAGCGCCUUCGUUCAGCGGUCGGCGAUCGUUUGGAAGGACAGUGUGAGCGAGCACUCUGCCCUCCGCGUUCACGGCCGCGCGGCCAGGCGCCCCGACCUGCACACACGUGCGCGCGCACAGUCGCGCUGCCCGGGGAGGUCAGCGCGCCGCGGGAGCGGCUCUAGGCAAGUGGAAACAGAUGAAAGGUGUCCGUUUUCUUUUCUUUUCUUUUCAAUGUUUCUGCGAGACAGCCUUUGGAAGAACUUAGGUCAUACAUACCCAUCCCUCACCGCCCCCCUCCCCCGACGCCCAGGCCGUCCUCAGCCUCUCCAUUACUCGCUUUGCUUUCCCCGUUUUCCACUCCGGAGCGCAGCUCGGCACGUGCACGCGGGUGUGAGCGCGCCCAGAGGCUGCAGAGACCCGGAGCGUCGCUCGGAUCCGGCCAGAGCGGGUAGGAUCCUCGCUGGCAAGAAAACCAGCGGAGGAGAAGGAACUGUGUUUCGCCCAUUACUUUUAUUAGACGAGAGAGGCUAUAGAGGGCGUUUGUCCCGGGUCCCGUUUCAUAGCCGCCUGCUGACUUCAUCAAAAGGGCUCGUCCAGACCGCGAUUCCGCCGCGCGUGGUCAGGCGCACACUGACGCAGCUGGGUGGGAGAGCCGCGGAACAUAAAGAUACAGUCUUAGAUUUGCGGUGUUGACCUCUGAACGGACGGCCCCCGGUGUGUCUGUCACUGGGCAUCAUCCAGAACGUGGUAGAGAGAGAGGCUUCCUGGGCAGGACGCUGCCCGUGGGACCUCAGGCUCCUCACCUGGGCCCAUCAGGUGAGCGGCUCACCUGUGGCUAUUGGCUCUUCUCGGGGGCUGGCCGCUCUCGUCUCUGGGGAGGGGCGCUUUUGCCCUGGAGAAGUCUGAAUCUUUUCACCACCCACAGUAAAGGUGCCUUAGAAAAUUCAAGUCAAGAUUAGACAGAGGGGGGCUGCACCUGGAGAGGGGGUGGCUUCCUGGGGAGCCCUGUGUGUCCAAAGGCUUCCCUGGGCCCACGAGGUUGAAGGCCCUGGGGACUGACUGCCGCCCGAACCUGGCCCUCUCUGCCCAGGCUCCUGGCCUGCUGGCCCUCCUGCCUGUGGCCACACAUCCCUCCACAUCAGUCCCUGCCACUUGCAAAGGUCCUGACCACGGGGCUCCAUCACCCCCUGCCGUGGGGCUCUGUGGAGCACUAGACACGUAUUGACUGACUGACUGACUGAGUCGGUGAAUGGCUUGCUCUUGGUCACUCACUUUUUCUUCUCAAAGGUACCCAGGAUACUGAGGGACAGAAACAGAAAAACCACGGUUGCGUACGUUUCCUGCCGGCUUCCCUGCUAAGCAUCUUCUGUGCACCUGAGUGUCUUGAUCUCGAGUGAUCCAGGCAAACCUGAUCACACCUCGGGAGCCCUGGCUCUCCUGUAUGAAGCGCGGUGCAUUGCCACGUUGAAUUUUAAGCCCCUAUAGCUAUGCACACUGAAAAUAGCAUUUCAUUUUAAAAUAAAUUCCUGAGUUAGCAGUCAGUCCCAAACCUUCCAUUCCUUGAGAACAGCGUGCAUUUUGUUGUUGUUUUUGCAUCCGCAUGACGUGUGCCAUUCCCAGCACAGAGAUGUUCAUGAAAAAGAAAGUGAACAAAAGCAAACCAUACUGAUGAUACUGUUAAUGAAAAAUUCAGAGUGGGACCGACCGUUUAAAGCUGAUUAGAUCCUAGCAAGGGUUUUUUUAGAAACAGACAAGUUUCUUCUGAAAUUUAUUUUUAGUGGCAGGAAUCUUAGGAUGGCUAAAACAAUUCUGACAAAGAAGAAUUAAGUGGGAAGAAUCAGUCUACCCAAUUCCAAGACAUUACAUCAUUGGAACAAAAGAGAAAAUCCCAGAAACAAACAUGUAUAAAUAUUCCUGACUUAUUUUGACAGGAUGCAAAGCAAUUCAAUGGAGGAAAGCUAGUCUUUUCAACAAGCGGUGCUGGAUCAAUCGAACGUCUCUAAGCCUGUGGGACUUCUCAGGUAUCUCAGUGGUAAGGAACCUACCUGUCAAUGAAGGAAAUGCAAGAGCUGGGGGUUCGAUCCCUGGGUCAGGAAGAUCCCCUGGAGUAGGAAUCGGUGAUCCACUCCAGUACUCUCGCCUGGGAAAUCCCAGGGACAGAGGAGCCUGGUGGGCUACAGUCCGUGGGGCCACAAAGAUUCGGACACAACUGAGCACAAAGCAAGUAUGCGCAUACAAACACACACAAACUCCAACCCAACUCCCGUACCUUACGCAGAAAUUAACUAGACGUGACCACAGACUUACACGUCAAAUUAUGAAACUUUUAGAACAGAGGAUAAAAAUCUCAAGAUCUAUGACGAGGCAAAGAAUCUGUAGACUAGACACCAAAAGCAGAAUCCAUGAAUUAAUAUUUUCUUCUCAAAGGUACCCAGGAUACUGAGGACAGAAACAGAAAAACCACGGUUGCGUCGUUUCCUGCCGGCUUCCCUGCUAAGCAUCUUCUGUGCACCUGAGUGUCUUGAUCUCGAGUGAUCCAGGCAAACCUGAUCACACCUCGGGAGCCCUGGCUCUCCUGUAUGAAGCGGUGCAUUGCCACGUUGAAUUUUAAGCCCCUAUAGCUAUGCACACUGAAAAUAGCAUUUCAUUUUUAAAAUAAAUUCCUGAGUUAGCAGUCAGUCCCAAACCUUCCAUUCCUUGAGAACAGCGAGCGUGCAUUUUGUUGUUGUUUUUUGCAUCCCGCAUGACGUGUGCCAUUCCCAGCACAGAGAUGUUCAUGAAAAAGAAAGUGAACAAAAGCAAACCAUACUGAUGAUACUGUUAAUGAAAAAUUCAGAGUGGGACCGACCGUUUAAAGCUGAUUAGAUCCUAGCAAGGGUUUUUUUAGAAACAGACAAGUUUCUUCUGAAAUUUAUUUUUAGUGGCAGGAAUCUUAGGAUGGCUAAAACAAUUCUGACAAAGAAGAAUUAAGUGGGAAGAAUCAGUCUACCCAAUUCCAAGACAUUACAUCAUUGGAACAAAAGAGAAAAUCCCAGAAACAAACAUGUAUAAAUAUUCCUGACUUAUUUUGACAGGAUGCAAAGCAAUUCAAUGGAGGAAAGCUAGUCUUUUCAACAAACGGUGCUGGAUCAAUCGAACGUCUCUAAGCCUGUGGGACUUCUCAGGUAUCUCAGUGGUAAGGAACCUACCUGUCAAUGAAGGAAAUGCAAGAGCUGGGGGUUCGAUCCCUGGGUCAGGAAGAUCCCUGGAGUAGGAAUCGGUGAUCCACUCCAGUACUCUCGCCUGGAAAUCCCAGGGACAGAGGAGCCUGGUGGGCUACAGUCCGUGGGGC